AGCAGUAGCCGCGGGAAAACGUAGGUGGCAAGCGUUAUCCGGAAUUAUUGGGCGUAAAGCGCGCGUAGGCGGUUUUUUAAGUCCGAUGUGAAAGCCCACGGCUCAACCGUGGAGGGUCAUUGGAAACUGGAAAACUUGAGUGCAGAAGAGGAAAGUGGAAUUCCAAGCGUAGCGGUGAAAUGCGCAGAGAUAUGGAGGAACACCAGUGGCGAAGGCGACUUUCUGGUCUGUAACUGACGCUGAUGUGCGAAAGCGUGGGGAUCAAACAGGAUUAGAUACCCCAGUAGUCCCUGUCUCUUAUAC
rnacentral:rRNA from 1 species